GCCUCCGCGGCGCUGCCUCCGGGAACUCUCCCGCGAGAGGGCCGCGCGCGCCCGGGCUCCAGGAAGUCGGGAUUCCGUCCGAGCGGGAUGGAGGGGGCUGAGACCUGCGGCGGCUGGUGCGAAGCCGAGGCCAGUGCCGUCCCGAAGCGUCCGCCUCCCAUUUGUCAGAAUCUCGCUUGAGGCUCGGCCUGUCGGGGAGCCCGGGAUGUCCCCUCCCGAGGAAGAAGAGCCACGGCGCCAGACACCUCAGUGCCCGGGUGAACGCCGGCGCCCAGCGAAGCGCCUGUUCUCAUAAAACCAAAGGCUUUUUAAAACAGCACUUCUCCUGAAGUCCAGAAUAUUUUCCCUGGUUAGCUGAUAAACUACAAGCCUGAUCCUGACAUGGUUUUUGGAGAUGCUAUCACCUGAAUGGAGGAAUGUGGGUCCUAGGGCAGUGAACCCAGGGCUUCCUACACAUGGACAAGCGCUCUACCAUUGAUGUACACCCUUAGCCCCAGAGUACCUUGUUGGGACCAGGCUCGAUUGUUUGAGAUCUAACUGCUGAAAGCAAAGCCCAAUGUACAACCUCUGGCUCAUGCGUGGUCCCUCAGAUGUAUGACCUGAGACUUGCCAGACCCCUGGAGGCCACUUCACGGUCACCUGCUCGUAGGCUGGUGUGGUGACUCUCCUGCCAUGUGAAGGCGGCAAAAGCAGAUUAAAGGCUGCCUGUUGCAGGCACGUUGCUCAUUUUUAUGUGCAGUCCACGACUGGGCUUGGAAGCAGCUUGCACUUCCUGCAGAAGGAGGAAUGCCGUUCUGUGGGUUGAAGAGCCCUCACACGCUCCUGCACACACUGCCACUCGUUCCAAAGACGCCCAUCAGGUGGCCCCGGUGGACCUGACCCCUUGCCAGGCAUUCACACGGUAAGCGUGAGUUCCUGCCAUGGAGGACAUCUUCAGUGCUGACGAUGACCUUGACUGAAAAUCUGGCCUGCUUAUGCGUAAGGGGCUCACAGCCUUUGAACUAGUUUUUCUGUUCCUGGUUAGGUGUGCGAUGGAAAUCAUGCCUCAUACCAAAAGAAGCCUUUUGCAUGAGUAUUUGUAUUUGGUUAAAGGUGCAAGAUUUGGUGUCAGAUCUGGUUUGAUGUGUCCGAAAUCCUUAGUUUUGUUAUCCAUACUGUGGAGAUAAUAGGAAUCUCAUAAGGCAGUUGUGAACUUUAAUUUAAAACUUUAAGUAAAUAAAUAUUAAUAUAAAUAAUAUAAAAGCAUCUAGCACACUGCCUGUAAGAAAGAAGUAUUCAAUAAAUGAUAACUAUUAUUACCGGCAUUACCAUCACGGUGUCAUUUAUAAUAUUAAAUUUAGGAUCUUAAUAUUUAUAACAUUAAGCUUUGAAUAUGAACCAUCCUAAAUGGGUGAAAGGGGAUGAUUAAUUAGAUAUUGAUUAUAUAUAUUCAGUGAAAAAUUAUGCAUCUAUUAAAAAGGUCUUAAA